GUCCUCGUCGUUCAACGGAUAGGAUACUUCCCUCCGAAGGAAGUGAUUGUGGUUCGAUUCCACACGAGGACA
rnacentral:tRNA from 1 species